rnacentral:ncRNA from 1 species
ACAGUACAAACUGAGCAGGUAACGGUGAUACACCGUGGGGCCGGGCUGUAAACACAGCAGCAGAUAACACGAAUCUGCGGGACAGU